AGGUGGGGUAACGGCUCACCUAGGCGACGAUCCCUAGCUGGUCUGAGAGGAUGACCAGCCACACUGGAACUGAGACACGGUCCAGACUCCUACGGGAGGCAGCAGUGGGGAAUAUUGCACAAUGGGCGCAAGCCUGAUGCAGCCAUGCCGCGUGUAUGAAGAAGGCCUUCGGGUUGUAAAGUACUUUCAGCGGGGAGGAAGGGAGUAAAGUUAAUACCUUUGCUCAUUGACGUUACCCGCAGAAGAAGCACCGGCUAACUCCGUGCCAGCAGCCGCGGUAAUACGGAGGGUGCAAGCGUUAAUCGGAAUUACUGGGCGUAAAGCGCACGCAGGCGGUUUGUUAAGUCAGAUGUGAAAUCCCCGGGCUCAACCUGGGAACUGCAUCUGAUACUGGCAAGCUUGAGUCUCGUAGAGGGGGGUAGAAUUCCAGGUGUAGCGGUGAAAUGCGUAGAGAUCUGGAGGAAUACCGGUGGCGA
rnacentral:rRNA from 1 species